GAUCUCUUGGCUCUCGCAUCGAUGAAGAACGCAUCGAAAUGCGAUAAGUAAUGUGAAUUGCAGAAUUCAGUGAAUCAUCGAAUCUUUGAACGCACCUUGCGCUCCUUGGUAUUCCGAGGAGCAUGCCUGUUUGAGUGUCAUUA
rnacentral:rRNA from 1 species